AGAGUUUGAUCAUGGCUCAGGAUGAACGCUAGCGGGAGGCCUAACACAUGCAAGCCGAGCGGUAUUGUUCUUCGGAAAUGAGAGAGCGGCGUACGGGUGCGGAACACGUGUGCAACCUACCUUUAUCUGGAGGAUAGCCUUUCGAAAGGAAGAUUAAUACUCCAUAAUAUAUUGAUUGGCAUCAGUUGAUAUUGAAAGCUCCGGCGGAUAAAGAUGGGCACGCGCAAGAUUAGCUAGUUGGUGAGGUAACGGCUCACCAAGGCGAUGAUCUUUAGGGGGCCUGAGAGGGUGAUCCCCCACACUGGUACUGAGACACGGACCAGACUCCUACGGGAGGCAGCAGUGAGGAAUAUUGGUCAAUGGGUGCAAGCCUGAACCAGCCAUCCCGCGUGAAGGACGACUGCCCUAUGGGUUGUAAACUUCUUUUGUAUAGGGAUAAACCUACUCUCGUGAGAGUAGCUGAAGGUACUAUACGAAUAAGCACCGGCUAACUCCGUG
rnacentral:rRNA from 1 species